UUGCACUGCAGUGGUUGCCAUAGCAAAAGCGAUUACUCUCCGAGUUUCUACUUUCUAGCAAAGACUGAGGCAUCUAUCUUGUUUCAGAUGUAAAAUAAACAAGGCCAUCGCCAUGCAGAAUGUUUAGUAGGAGACAUUUCCACUAUCAUGUACCUGCUGAUGACUAGGCUGGAAUUAGGCCUCUUUACCCUGUUACUUCCUUCUCACCAAAACAGAUGGAGAUGGACACAUGGAUCACUUAUUGCCAGGCUGUGAAGAUAAAAACUGCCAGAAAAGCAUCAUUUACUUAGCAAGAUCUGGAACAAAGCAGUGGAUUCCAGUUCUCCAGGAGUUCAGCAACAAGGGCACACUCUGGGGCUUUGUGCCAUUUGUGCAUGAACAACGGCCAACUGAAAUACCACUUCCAAUUACUCUUCAUAUGGAGACUACAACAUGGAUGGCUAU